CCUUAGAGUUUGAUCCUGGCUCAGGAUGAACGCUGGCGGCGUGCCUAAUACAUGCAAGUCGAACGAAUCUCUUUUAGAGAUGAGUGGCGAACGGGUGAGUAAUACAUAGGUAACCUGCCCCUGUGCGGGGGAUAACAGGAGGAAACUCCUGCUAAUACCGCAUAGCCAUGAGCACCGCAUGGAGCUCAUGCCAAAUAUCCUUUAUGGGAUAGCGCAGGGAUGGACCUAUGGCGCAUUAGCUGGUUGGCGGGGCAACGGCCCACCAAGGCAACGAUGCGUAGCCGGCCUGAGAGGGCGGACGGCCACAUUGGGACUGAGACACGGCCCAGACUCCUACGGGAGGCAGCAGUAGGGAAUUUUCGGCAAUGGGGGAAACCCUGACCGAGCAACGCCGCGUGAGCGAAGAAGGCCUUCGGGUCGUAAAGCUCUGUUGUAAAGGAAGAACGGCGCAUACAGGAAAUGGUAUGCGAGUGACGGUACUUUACCAGAAAGCCACGGCUAACUACGUGCCAGCAGCCGCGGUAAUACGUAGGUGGCGAGCGUUAUCCGGAAUCAUUGGGCGUAAAGAGGGAGCAGGCGGCCGCAAGGGUCUGUGGUGAAAGACCGAAGCUAAACUUCGGUAAGCCAUGGAAACCGGGCGGCUAGAGUGCGGAAGAGGAUCGUGGAAUUCCAUGUGUAGCGGUGAAAUGCGUAGAUAUAUGGAGGAACACCAGUGGCGAAGGCGACGGUCUGGGCCGCAACUGACGCUCAUUCCCGAAAGCGUGGGGAGCAAAUAGGAUUAGAUACCCUAGUAGUCCACGCCGUAAACGAUGGUCACUAAGUGUCGGGGGUCAAACCCCGGUGCUGCAGUCAACGCAAUAAGUGACCCGCCUGAGUAGUACGUUCGCAAGAAU
rnacentral:rRNA from 1 species